AGCAUGGAUAAUGUCUGAAAAAAAGAUAAACAUAUAUUUAUAACAUAUUUGUAGGUGGCGAGUUGUUGUGCAUGGUGGCAUCGAUGGAUUCUCCCGGCUGAUCGUAUUCCUGACAGCAGCAACAAACAACAGAGCUCAGACUGUCCUUCAGAGUUUCCUUACUGCAGUGGAUCAGCAUAGUAUUCCCUCAAGAGUCCGUUCAGACAAAGGAGGGGAGAACACUUAAGUGGCACGUUUCAUGGUGACAAGUAAUGGACCCAAUAGAAACUCUCACAUUUCUGGAAAAAGUGUCCACAAUCAAAGAAUUGAACGGCUGUGGCGGGAUGUAUUUGAAAAAGUACUCAAUCUCUUCUAUACCACUUUUUAUCGUCUGGAAGAAAUGGGAUUGCUUAAUCCUGGACACAGACCUGUAUGCUUUACAUAGGUGUUGCAUGCCGCAUAUCCAGUCACAUCUGCACCAGUUCCAGAAAGCUUGGAACAACAACCCUUUGAGAAUGGAAAGAAACAAAUCUCCUCUACAACUGUGGCCGGUGGUGAAGGCAGAGUCGACUGGAGCGAACCACAGAGACCUAUGACAACUGGAGUUUAUGUUCCUGAAUUGGAGCUGCCCCGUCCUUUGACGACAACGGAACAAGCAACACUACCAAACUACGGUGGCCGAGAAGGGCCAUAACACAUGCAACUUAUGAAAACACAUGCAACUUAUGAAAACACAUGCAAAUCAACAAAACACAUGCAAAUCAACAAAACACGUGCAAAUAAACAAAACACCAACAACUUAAGAAAACAUCUUCAUCUUGACGUGCACAUCAUUUAGAAAACGCGCUGCAAAUUCAGACAACAUUUACAUUUCAGAAACGAGCUGCAAACUGCACUCACAACACAACGGAAGUGUUUCUGGGGGACACUUAAAAGUGAUGAACAACUCUGAACGGGUGUGACCGCAACAGCUGGCUCUAAAUGAUCGGAAAUGUAUUUGGGUUUAUUUUAACAUUUUAAUGGCACUUAAAAAUAAUGAACACCUCUCCUUUACUGUCUGUACGUAUGUAUGUAUGUAUGUAGGUUUACACUACACUGAUGAUAAUGAGCCUACUAUGAAACUCUAGGGAUUGUUUUCAUGCUAACUGUUAAUUGUUAGUAGCGUAGUUUUGCUAUCUUGCUAGAAUGCCCUGAACAUAUGUAAUUGUAAUAGUGAGAAACUGUUUCAGCAAAUCUACCUUUUAUUUAUUUGUGCAUUUAUUUGUUACUACUUGUUUAUUGAUUGUGAAUAGUGUUGAUUAAUAUUUGACACAUUGACCGUUCCGGUUACCAUAACAACCGGAAUGUUUACUGCCUCCUCAGUUGAUGUUUAUGCUGAGUGAGGCAGGUAUGUAUAGCGACUAAGCUCUGAACAUUAUGAUAAUAAUUGAUAAAUACUA